GUCCCCUGAGAUAGCUCAGUCGGUAGAGCAUGAGACAUUUAAAAUCUCGGGGUUGUAGGUUCCAGCCCCACAUUGGGCA